rnacentral:rRNA from 2 species
GAUGGUUCGAUUAGUCUUUCGCCCCUAUACCCAGUUCAUACGAUCGAUUUGCACGUCAGAAUCGCUACGGACCUCCAUCAGGGUUUCCCCUGACUUCAUCCUGACCAGGCAUAGUUCACCAUCUUUCGGGUCCCAGCGUGUACGCUCUUGGUGCGCCGCAACUUGCAAUAAGUAUGCGACGCCCCGGGAAUGCGAGGUAACAUAAAUAACGUAACCCAUCUUCCCUUUAUAACAUAAUUAUAAAAAUUAUAUAUAUAUUUACUUUCAUUACGCCUUUAGGUUUAUUAUAAAUACCCAAUGACUUGCGCACAUGCUAGAUG